UACGUAGGGGGCUAGCGUUGCUCGGAAUUACUGGGCGUAAAGCGCACGUAGGCGGCUUUCUAAGUCGGGGGUGAAAUCCUGGAGCUCAACUCCAGAACUGCCUUCGAUACUGGAGAGCUCGAGUCCGGGAGAGGUGAGUGGAACUGCGAGUGUAGAGGUGAAAUUCGUAGAUAUUCGCAAGAACACCAGUGGCGAAGGCGGCUCACUGGUCCAUUACUGACGCUGAGGUGCGAAAGCGUGGGGAGCAAACAGG
rnacentral:rRNA from 1 species